GGCUGGUUUCGAGAAGUUUGGAAAAUUGCAAUUUCGAAAUACAUAAUUUGCCAAGUUUUUCCGUAAAGAAGUCAUCACAAUUUCGAAGGUGCUGUUGCUGUUGGUACCGCUGGGCGCCCUCCGCUGGGUGGUGGAAUUAUUUUUCCUCGCUGCUGUAGAACCCUUUGCUGGCUCGCGAACAGCAACGAACAACCAUAGACCGUGUCGAUUUCUUGUGGAAUGUGAUGGUGAAACCGGUCGAUUGUGGAUGCGAUGUAGCGAUGGAACCGGAAAAGGAUGAUUUCGAUGACCAUUCAAGCGUCGGUUGGAGCGUACGAUUGGGUGCUAUUGGUGCCAUUUUACGACGAUUUGACAGCCUGUCGAUAAACGACCAGAGGCUGCUUCAAACGAUGACCUGGGAUGUGAACCUGUCGACAUUCGACCGGAGGUUCGCACAGAACUUGUGCUGCGCCGCGUACCAACCUGUCGAAAUUCGACCAGAGGUUGAGAUGUGUGCUUGACGUAGACAUAGUGGAUCAAAACAUGCUCGCUCCAAUGCCCAACGCUUAGCCGAUGUAUGACCCGUCGACCUUCGACCAGGGGUUCUUGCUCGACUAUGUUUCAACGUAUCAACCUAUCGACU